rnacentral:tRNA from 1 species
GGGGCUGUAGCUCAGUGGUAGAGCGGUAGCUUUGCAAGCUAUAGGUCGGGAGUUCGACCCUCCUCAGCUCCACCA